rnacentral:siRNA from 1 species
GCAUAUAGGUGUACCUUUCUGUA